UACAGAGGUCUCAAGCGUUGUUCGGAUUUAUUGGGCGUAAAGAGCUCGUAGGCGGUCUGUCGCGUCGGAUGUGAAAAUCCAGGGCUCAACCCUGGACCUGCAUUCGAUACGGGCAGACUAGAGUUCGGUAGGGGAGACUGGAAUUCCUGGUGUAGCGGUGAAAUGCGCAGAUAUCAGGAGGAACACCGGUGGCGAAGGCGGGUCUCUGGGCCGACACUGACGCUGAGGAGCGAAAGCCAGGGGAGCAAACGGG
rnacentral:rRNA from 1 species